GCCCAGUUGGCUCAGUUGGAAGAGCAUGUGACUCUUAAUCUUGAGGCCAUGGGUUUGAGCCCUACAUUGGGUG
rnacentral:tRNA from 1 species